GAGAUAUUAGUAAAAUUUAUAUAACUUCGUCAAAGUUAAGUUAUAGGUUAAAACCCUAUAUAUCUCC
rnacentral:tRNA from 1 species